AGUGAACGCUGGCGGCGUGCUUAACACAUGCAAGUCGAGCGAAUCUUGGCAGCGUAUCGCCGAGGUUAGCGGCAGACGGGUGAGUAAUACUUGGGCAAUCUGCCCAUCAGAGGGAAACAACCUGCCGAAAGGCGGGCUAAUGUCCCAUAAGACCACAGAGUUGCAUAACUCAGGGGUCAAAGCUUCGCAAGGGGCGCUGGUGGAGGAGCCCGAGUCCUAUCAUGGUAGUUGGUGGGGUAACGGCCCACCAAGCCGUUGACGGGUAGCCGACCUGAAAGGGCGAUCGGCCACACUGGCACUGAGACACGGGCCAGACUCCUACGGGAGGCUG
rnacentral:rRNA from 1 species